CCGACUACGCUCAUCAUCGUAGUCAUCAUAUUCGUAGUAGAUCUGUUCCGGAUGAAUUUGCAUACCAAAGAAAGGAUACCUACAAAAGCCUUCCGAGUCUUUAUUGGUCGCCAAUACGGUCCACUGAUCCGCUAUAUUGAAAUCGCCAAGAAUCUGAUGCAACAUUUUUUGUAAAUAAUAAAGGAUAAGAAAUUUUUCAAAAUCCUACCUGUUUCGUUAUACAAUACCGAUGAUUAUGAUAACCGAAAGCUUAUAAAUAUGUUUCGAAUGUACGCACCAUAAGAAUUUUCAAGGUUGAUGGGAAGAGAGCAUUCCAUCUUUUUACAUUCUAUCCUAAU